GCCCCCAUCGUCUAGAGGCCUAGGACACCUCUCUUUCAAGGAGGCGACGGGGAUUCGAGUUCCCCUGGGGGUA
rnacentral:tRNA from 3 species